GAGCCCGUCUUCAGCCAAUCAGACGUCUUCUUCUUAAACAGCCAAUCACAAGGGCUGGGCUGUUUCGUUACGUCACUGCUGUGCGCCUUCAAGUCCGGCUGGAGAUUCCUUUUAGACUACAACGCAGUUCAUGCGGUUGUCGUGCGGUUGGUGUACAACAUGGAGAAGAGGUUCCAGGAGAUUUUCAAUUUUAUGUCUAGGGGUGAAUUCCCUAAUUUAUAGUGAAUCUCAGAAAUGUGCUUUAAGAAGAUAUAUGCAGAAGCUCAAACUGAAGGUCCCAAACAGAAGCACGAUCACUGUUUAAUGAAGUACACUCGGCUUCAAUUGGUGCACACACAGGCACUGUUAAAACCAGAUCCUCAAUGUACUCCAGAAAUUAUUGGGAUGGCAUGACGGUGGACAUUGACUGGUGGGUCUCUGAAUGCGACGGAUGUCAGAGGACUGGUAACUCUUUGGCUGUGUGUGACACAGCCAUUACAAAGCAUUAAGGUGUCUGCUGUUUGGGAGUUGGUUGGGAUAGACCUGACUGGGCCUCUCCCAAAAACCAAGGAUGGCUUUCAGUACAUUCUUACUGCCACCGAUUAUUUUUCCAAACACAGAUGCCCCCAAAGAAUCCUGUCCGACCAAGGAAGAGAAUUUGUCAAUUAGCUCAACGAUAACCUUUGUGCCUCCUGUGCAUUGAAAGGAGUGUUACAGCUGCAUAUCAUCCUAAGACGAAUGGGCUGGAUGAGAGGACAAAUAGCAAACAUAAAACGGCAAGUUGUUGUUGGUGUUCUAAAAUGUAUAUCUAAUUGUACCCUUCUACUUCGUACAGCUCUUACAAAAUUGGUGAACGACCGACAGGAUUUGUUUGGUGGUUUGGCCUAUUCAGUAGAUAAUUUUGACCGGAUGGUCAUCUGGUCAAGUGCCGUAAAUAAUAACUUUUUUGAUUUAACAAUGUUGUGUUUUCAGUUAAAUUACUGUGGGCUGCAGAGGAUCAAGGCAAGGUGGAGGCUGUCGUUGGACCGUAUAAAUUAUACGACACAUCUUUUCAUACGCUAAAAGGCAACGGCUGGCUGUCUGAUGAAGUCAGUGGGAGCAAUAAGUGUUUAGCAAAUAACAAAGAUUCUUGCCUUUUGCCAAUUUUUUUAUUUUGCUAUGCAAGUAUUUGAUGCAUACAUGCAUAUCCUCAUUGAAAGGCAGCAGCCAAGUGCUGGAUAUAGUUUUUCUCAAUGCAUUUAUUUUUUGCCGGAGUAUAGUUGUAAUGUUGUUACCCCUUUUUUUAACAGGAGCCCAUUCACCAACUCUCUGCUGUGGUAGCUGGGAGUCUGCUUUUGGGAAAAUUUCAGCCUGUUAGAAAGGUAAUCCAUUUCAUGCCAAUAUUUAGCUAUAUUAUUUUAACGCCAGUAACCCAAAAUAACAAUAAUUUGGUAUUGUAUGUUCUUCAGAGGAAAUUCCCUGUUGAAAAAAAAAGUGUAUUUGUCCUGUCCUGUCCUGUAUGCGCUCAUUGGAUUUUAGUGAAUUACACAAAGGAACUAACCUUUUAUAGAUUGUCCACAUUUCUAAGAGAACACUGGUGAUCAACGAUCCCUUGAGUAACGAGGACAAAUAUGAGCAAAAUCUUGCGGAAUUGGAGGAACUUCUUGAGGUUGGCGGGCCGUGAGUUCCAAAUAGAAACUUGGACUACCAAAACUGUGGCCCAUAACAAGCAGCAGAACAACAGUAGCUGUGGGGUUUUCACAUUAAAGUUUGCGGAAGAGUAUAUGGCCAAUGGAGAUCUCAGGCACAACCAGACCCACCUUCCCGAAGUUCUGAAGGCUCGAGGAGAUCUAGCCUGUGCCCUCCUACAGGCUGGGAGUCUGAGAUGUCUAUUUAAAUUAAAAAAAUGUCUCAAAACUUA